GAUGAACGCUAGCGGCAGGCUUAACACAUGCAAGUCGUGGGGCAGCAGGGGUGUAGCAAUACACUCGCUGGCGACCGGCAAGCGGGUGCGGAACACGUACGCAACUUACCCUGAACUGGGGGAUAGCCCACCGAAAGGUGGAUUAAUACCUCGUAACACUGUGAGGUGGCAUCAUUUUACAGUUAUAGCUCCGGCGGGUCAGGAUGGGCGUGCGGCUGAUUAGGUAGUUGGUGUAGGUAACGGCUCACCAAGCCUGCGAUCAGUAACUGGUGUGAGAGCACGACCAGUCACACGGGCACUGGGACACGGGCCCGACUCCUACGGGAGGCAGCAGUAAGGAAUAUUGGUCAAUGGACGCAAGUCUGAACCAGCCAUGCCGCGUGGAGGAUGAAGGCCCUCUGGGUUGUAAACUUCUUUUAUGGGGGACGAAAUCUCUUAUUCUUAAGAGUCUGACGGUACCCCAGGAAUAAGCACCGGCUAACUCCGUGCCAGCCGCCGCGGUAAUAC
rnacentral:rRNA from 1 species